UACGUAGGGAGCAAGCGUUGUCCGGAAUCAUUGGGCGUAAAGCGCGCGUAGGUGGCCAUGUAAGUCCGCUGUGAAAGUCAAAGGCUCAACCUUUGAAAGCCGGUGGAUACUGCAUGGCUAGAGUACGGAAGAGGCGAGUGGAAUUCCUGGUGUAGCGGUGGAAUGCGCAGAUAUCAGGAGGAACACCAAUAGCGAAGGCAGCUCGCUGGGACGUUACUGACACUGAGACGCGAAAGCUAGGGGAGCGAAUGGG
rnacentral:rRNA from 1 species